CCGGAAGUGUGGGCGCGGCUGCGGUUUAACCCGCGGUGGCGGCGGCGACGGCGGCCCUGGCAGGGAAGGAUGGAGACGCUGAAGGAUAAGACCCUGCAGGAGCUGGAGGAGUUGCAGAAUGACUCGGAGGCGAUUGACCAGCUGGCCCUGGAGUCCCCUGAGGUCCAGGACCUGCAGCUGGAACGGGAGAUGGCACUGGCCACCAACCGGAGCCUGGCGGAGCGGAACUUGGAGUUCCAGGGUCCCCUGGAGAUCAGCCGCUCAAACCUCUCGGAUAAAUACCAGGAGCUCCGGAAGCUCGUGGAGCGGUGCCAGGAGCAGAAGGCAAAGCUGGAGAAAUUUUCUUCAGCAUUGCAGCCGGGGACCUUGUUAGACCUUCUGCAGGUGGAAGGCAUGAAGAUUGAAGAAGAGUCCGAGGUGAGAGGGCGAGGCGACACCCCUCUUCCCUGGACGGGGUGUCAGUCCCUGCAGCAAGGGCCCUUGGAAGGAGGAGCAGAUGUCUGCAAAGCAUGGAACAAGGGAGCUUUCGUAGAUGGCAGAGGUGAAGGACAUCUUUAGUCCUGGGGAGGCCUUUUGGGUAUAAAUAACAGGAACCCAGUCCCACUAGCUGAAGCAGAAUGGGUGGCAGUGGACAAGGGCAGCUCGCAGCCCCGAAUGGUAGGGGAGCACAGCAGGAGGCCUCCAGGGGCUGAGGCCAGCUCCCUACUCCACUCUCCCUGCUUCCCUCUGGCCAUCUCUUCAGCCUCUGUGGGCAAACUGGUGCUGUCCACUCUGUGUCUGGGUGGAAGAAGCUUCUAGGCCCUCCCAGUCCCUGGGCUAGUGCUCAUCCAGGUGUUCAGCGCAUAUAUGCAGUGGCCACUGUGGGCCUGGCAUGAUGCCAGGGUGCCAGGACAGGUGACCACGAC
rnacentral:sRNA from 1 species